GUUGUAUGGUUAAGUGACUAAGCGUACACGGUGGAUGCCUUGGCAGUCAGAGGCGAUGAAGGACGUAGUAACUUGCGAUAAGCGUAGAUUAGGCAGUAACAGCCACUUGAGUCUACGAUUUCCGAAUGGGGAAACCCACGUGCAUAAGCACGUAUCCUUACCUGAAUACAUAGGGUAAGGAGGCAAACCGGGGGAACUGAAACAUCUAAGUACCCCGAGGAGAAGAAAUCAACAGAGAUUCCGAAAGUAGCGGCGAGCGAAAUUGGACUAGCCCUUAAGCUUUUAAUGAUGCAGGUGAAGCCUCUGGAAAGUGGCGCAAUAAAGGGUGAUAGCCCCGUAACUGUUCCAUCAUUAUAAGUGAAAUCGAGUAAGGCGGGACACGUGUUAUCCUGUCUGAACAUGGGGGGACCAUCCUCCAAGGCUAAAUACUACUGACUGACCGAUAGUGAACCAGUACCGUGAGGGAAAGGCGAAAAGAACCCCUGUGAGGGGAGUGAAAUAGAACCUGAAACCGUGUACGUACAAGCAGUAGGAGCAGGCUUUGUCCUGUGACUGCGUACCUUUUGUAUAAUGGGUCAGCGACUUAUAUUCAGUGGCAAGGUUAACCGAAUAGGGGAGCCGUAGGGAAACCGAGUCUUAACUGGGCGAUUUAGUCUCUGGAUAUAGACCCGAAACCGGGUGAUCUAGCCAUGGGCAGGUUGAAGGUUGAGUAACAUCAACUGGAGGACCGAACCGACUAAUGUUGAAAAAUUAGCGGAUGACUUGUGGCUAGGGGUGA
rnacentral:rRNA from 1 species